rnacentral:lncRNA from 1 species
GAAAGUUUUCUGAGUUUUGUGUAUAUGCCCUGAUUUUUAUCAAAGUUAAAUUCUACACUGGGUCCUUAAACACAAAGCUAAACAUUGUCCUGUGAUAGAAUCAGGUAAGUCCAUUCCAGAUAUGUUCCAAGGGAAAAGAAAGCAGGUCAACAAGGUUCAUGACAUUUGUGUCAUUGUCCACUACAGCAUUCAUUACUCUCAUAACCAGAAGGUAAACAGACAACGGAGUCCAAGCCUGUCAGCCAGCGAGUGGAUGAACAAGAUGAGGCAGAGCCAGGGCUGGAGAGACAGACCUGCGGCUAAGAGCACUGGCUGCUCUUCCGGAGCAUCCAGGGUUGGCUCCCAGAACCUUCAUGGCUGCUCAACUAUGGCUUCAAGGGGACAGAGGUGAGGUUGAGCCAUGGCUGUGAAGAUGAAGAGAGAAGACUAGCUCGCCUCCAUCCCACCAUUUUAUGUCACUGCUCUGAGGAGACAAAUGACUACUACUUCAAAACGCCUCACAUUUCAGUUCCACGUUAUCACACUACAGUGACUUCUAGAUAAGGAUGCCCGGGCUUCACAGCAUCCUGAGACGUGUUUCUGAACACAGCAUCGUUGCCAUCCAGCCAGUGUCCUCUGGAUCUCCUCGAGAGGGAUGGAAUCUGCAGGACAGCCAGCUCUGCUGUGUUUCUCUUUCUUUUUCUUUCUUUUCUGAGACAGGUUCCCAACAGUGCAGCUCUGGCCGACUUACUAUGCAGAUCAAGAUGCCCUUGAACUCACCAAGAUCUGCCUGCCACUGACUGCCUCCUUGUCUCCCAAAUCCUGGGAUUAAAGGCUUGUGCCAUCACAAAGUUCUGCUUACUAUCAUUGUUGUU